rnacentral:tRNA from 1 species
CCAGAGGGUAGUUUAACUAAGAAUCUUAGCUUUGGGAGUUAAGGGUGGGAGUUUGAUUCUCUCUUCUCUG